rnacentral:misc_RNA from 1 species
CUGUGCAGUGAGCAAGUCUGAGCUACGAUCAACGACCAUAGUGCCCAGGCGAAACAAUUGCAUCGUCCCGUCGUAGUCUACCUUCGACCGAAUAUAAGGACGGUGUUAUCAGUGUUGUUCCUUUUCACGUGCUUCUGCCAGUGUAUUUCUUUCGUUCCGAGCGAGGAAUCUUCCUCGACUCUAUUGGCCACGUAAACAGUUGUUGAACACGCCGUUCGUAGCAACGGCAUUUUUGGCACGACGAAACGCGUCAUCAUGUGGCUGACAAUGCGAGAUAUACUAGUUGCACUGAAAACGGAGAAGAAACGUUGGAUGCUCAGCAUGACCCAAAUUCGUCAGUGUAACCUAUUCUGCAUUGGAAGAAAUUAGAAUAAUCGAAGCGCACAUAACGGAAACGGAAAUAAAUAGAAACGGGGAAGCGAAUGCACGAAAUGUCCGAGAGUGAAAUAAAGUCAGCUUCGCCAAUACCCACAGUUAUGUGCGCGCAAUGCUGUAGCAGUAGCGGUGGCAGUGGAAAAGGAGGAGGAGGAGGAGGAGGAGGAAGUGGUGGCGGUGGCGGCGGCAGCGGCAGUGGUAGCGAUAGUCUAAUGACUACGCAAUGUUCAGCCUUGCAAGUUACUUCACGAAUGCUGCGCUCGCCGAGUCAUGAGAGCGUUACUACUGACUUGUCACUCUUCAGCGUUUCGUCAAUCGCAAGCGAUUUGCGCGGUGCCAAUAGAUUGGUCACUUUUAAAUCCUAUAGUGACGCGCAGCUUGCCGCACGAGGACCCUCUCCGAAACCGGACUCUCGACAGAUUCAGGGUAACAGACCAGCGGAUAUUCCUGAAAUUCUUUGGUUCGAAGAAGAAAACGAGCUAAUACGUAGUUGUGGAGUUCUUUCAUCAGCAUUGGGAUUGCGCAAGAGCUUCAGCACGAGCGAUGUAUCGCAGCUUCCGAGUCCAGACGCCGCCGGAGCCGGUAAUCUUCGAACGGCAGUAUCUGCUCUGGCUCUUGACACCGUCCAGCGCAAUACGCUAUUGCUGGAGCAUGCUAGACUUGAUCAUGCUUCAAGAUCUUGCAGCACUUGGGUCGCUGUAGGUGAACCUGUAGCAAGUACAUCUCAGCUUCCUAGUCCACAUGGUGGAGCUGCGCAAGAACAGCAACAGCAAUUAUCGCAACCGCAACAGGCGCAACAACAAUCUUCCUCGAACGCUCAAUCGGUAUCGCAAUUGCCGCCGCAACCAUCGGCACCGCCGCCACCACCUGUGCCCUUUACAGGAGCGGAUCUAGUUAGGUCCGUCAAUAAGAAAGUCCGACAAAAUUAUAUACGACGAAGAUUACUUACCACAUAUCGCGCUUUGGAACGUCUCUCGCAGAGUGAAUUUAAUUUAGAUCAAUUAGAAGCAGCGGCUACCGCGGCGCAAACUUCUCAUGGAACUACUUUACUGGUGCCCGGAACAGCCGCGCGGAUUCCUAAUACUUCUUUGAUAGGGCGAAAGGAGCGAAAUCACGCAUUGACAGUCCGGGAUGUUGAAAGAGAACGUGGAAAUCAGUUGUCCAAGUACGAAAGGAACAUGAUGAUCUUCAAUUGGCUUCACACUCUAGAUGACAAUGCAGUUGUAGACAGCGUCGAAUAAGAAACAAAAAAGUCAUUGUUUCUUGCAACUUCGACAACAUGCGAUUUAUCGUGCCUAAGUCCUUUUUUCUUCGAUAGUAUUUUAUCGAGAAGACACUUCAUUGAUACGGCCCACCAUACUAUCGCAUCUUGGAGGAUACCGUUAAUUUGCAAUUAGAAAGGGGCAACGAAGGAAAAGGCUAAAAUGACGAUUUAUCCUUUGGCAUUCAGCAAAAACAUGUAUCCAUCAUGUGAGGAUUAAUAAAUGGCUGUGUAAUCUA